CUCGUUCGACUCUCGUACUACUUGUAAGCAUAUCGGAAACAUGUUUUCCAUCAAAAUUUGUGCACAAAAAAAUUUGCAAUUAAAAAUUGUUUGUGAAAAAAGUAAAUUCAUGUCCUAAUUCCCGUUCAACUGACUUCCAUUUCCCUUUCACUGGCCAUUCCAGCAUCCGAUAAUGCUGUGAUGGUUAAAAUAAUUUUUUAGAAAUCAUAAACAUAUUGGAAUCAUACGAUAUAUGUAUGUACAUGGUACAUGGUGCUUGUACUCGAUGAGGACUCUGUUGCUCGUUUGUCCUUCUUCUUUGGUAAGAAACCAUCUCCGCAAUCGAUUAAAAUUCUCCUUCAUUGCCACACAAAAGGGUGCAAGGAAGGUCCUUUGCCCUACAUAGUGGCUUACAAUUAUUAGACUCUGGACAAUUGCGAUGAAAAUAAUAAUACGACGGUCUCCCUGUUCGUUCGCUUAACUGAUAUGGAUAUCCCGCCAGAUGAGACGGUACCGACCUCUCUCUCUGGAUCCUGAGGAUUGCGAUCCACUGGCGGUCACAUCAGAGACUGUUGCUGAUUACACAUAUUUUUGGUUUUGAUUCCUCAAGUGCCGCUAUUGCUGGACUGAAAUGUUCAAAUAAAAGUGGUGUGGUAGUCGGAAA